AUUUCAGUCUCCCCAGACACGGGGGGGAAGAGGGAGUGAAGGCCACUCUGCUGUGUGCCCCUGCAGAGCGCAGGGCACCUUUUUGAGCUUCUGAUUUGUCAAGAGGGUUGUCAGUCAGAGCCCUUCCUGCUGCGCAGGACUGUGGUGUGAGCCCAGAAGCCACGGUCCUGAAUAUUUUUUGCCGAGUUGAAGGGACAGUCCCGAGGGGCAGGGUUGUUCCUGGCACAGGGCCUGCUACCUAGUAGGUGUCCAGUAAAUAGCCACUGAAUGAAUGAAUGGCCCAGGAGGGACCGUCCAAGAGCAACAGCCUGGUUUCCACCCACCGCCAAGCAGAGCUUCCAGGGCAAGGCUGGGGCGGACGUGUCUGCCUGUCCAGCUGUCGGGUCUCCCCCUCCCCUUUUCCGGUCCUUCUCUCCAUAAGCUCGGCUGGUUCCCACGCCCUCGCUCAGGGACUUCUGCUGUCAUUGUUCCGCUGUUAUCAGGACCCAGGCCUCUGCCAGCCUAGACCCUUCAUUGGACCAGGAAAAGGAAACGGAGAAAGGAGAAGAGGAGCUUCAAAGACUGAUGAAAAAAAGAGUCAAAUUUCAAAUGCAGCUGCUUUGUACAGCCUCAGGUUGGAGGAGCUGCGGGGGAUGCGGGGCAAGAUGUGUCAUCACACACAGGCACACAGCCACACUACAGAGUCCCAGGAAAAACCUGUUUCUACCCACAUCACCCAGCACGGGGCCUGGGGUCUCACAGAAAGAAUCAUCUCACAGCACAUUCCAAGCAGGGCCUUGCAAUGUUGGGGCUCCACUGGCCUUGGUCUCAGCAACAUGGAGGCACCCCCAGAUUGCUGAGUUUCUCACUCUGGCUCACGGCUCAAAGUCCCCAAGCUGGAGAGGAGUCUCUGUGAGGAUGGUAGAUUUUGCAAACCCUGGCUUGGACAAGAGAGCUGAAGAAGAAUGUGGGGGAUAUGUGAUACUUUGCACAGAUUUUAUCUCCUCAGGAUUCCAGAGCAUAAGACAAACGGUCUCAUGUCCGGCUGGGAGGUGUAAUUCAUUCUCUCAGGUGAGCCCACAGCCUGGGGGCAAGGUUGGGAGAAGAGAGGAGGAUGGUUUGGAGCACGUGGAACAUGCAGACUUGGGCCAGAAAAGCAUAUGGCCUGACAGUCAAGGAAGACUUCCUGGAGGAAGUGACAUUUGAGCUGGACCUUGAGGGAUGAACAGUGAAAACCAUUUCCUCCUCACCGUGGACUCCAUCCAGAGGCUGCGCCCAUCUCUCCCACGUCAACAGUGCUGUGUCCUUGGCGAAGGACAGUGCGCUCAUUCUGGGCCUUUCCCUUCUUCCUCGGCCAAACCCCUGCUCCUGCACCUCCGGGCAGCUAAUAAAAAGGCUGAGUUCCCCGCUGCA